AUUAGUGAACCUGUUAGUGUUAAGAGAUGUGGGAGGAUGUGGAGGCAAACCUGGUGAAGGAAGAAAUGAGACGGAGAACGAGGCACCCCAAGCUCCUACGACCCCUUAAAGAGUCCUGUUCCAGUGUCCACAGUGUAUGAUCUGACUUGCUCCGGGCGUACUGUGAGACAACACAAAGAACCUGAGGCCAGAGCAGUGGCUGCUUUGCUUGUCUUCAUGGAAAUCUCCCUGGGGGAUCGGGGGAUCGGACUCUCUCCUGCAGGCUCAUGGUCAGGUAUUUUACUACAGCGACAACAGAAGUAACUGUAACCGGGACAGUUCGUGACCCUCCCCGACCUGUCCAGGGCUGAGAUCCCAGGAACAGAAGGGCCUUGCUAAUUUGAGUAUGGGCAAAAGGUGACUGAGA
rnacentral:lncRNA from 1 species